rnacentral:lncRNA from 1 species
AUGAGUUUUAAGCUGUGGAUCUUGGCCGUUUUCGUGAUCGCCCUUGUGGCCAUCGUCCGGGGCGAUAGUUCCGAAGAAUCCGGAAGCUACGAACACGGACACUACGGUGGUCAUGGCCAUUACGGUGGACAUGGACAUUACGGUGGACAUGGUGGACAUUAUGGCGGACAUGGUGGACAUUAUGGCGGACAUGGUGGACAUUAUGGCGGACACGGAGGACAUGGUGGAUACGGUGGUGGACAUGGUGGAUAUGGUGGAUACGGUGGUUGGGGCUGGGGAAAACGAUAAUCUUUUCUCCUUUAAAUUGUAAAUAGCUGUAAUAUAUAAUUUAUUCAAAUCGGUGAUUUGCUUUUGAUUUAAUUAAAUUAAACAAAUGCAUAUACAAACUUUUAUGUACAAUAUCUCGUUAAAAACUGAUAAUGGAAAUAUACUUAAAAUAUUCUCGAGUAUACUGGUUUUUUAUAUUUUUACAGGUGAAUGUUCCUCUCUUCCUACGUUAAUUGCGUUCAGGUAUUUAGCUACGGGUUUUCCCUAAUUUUUUUACACUACGAAAUCCUAUAAAAUAGCAUUGUUGAAUAGGUACCUUAUUUCCUUCUGAUGAAGUUUUUUUUACGCUGAUCAUGAGUUUUUCGUGACAUUAUUUGCACUUUUUUAAAAUUAAGAAAAAAAGUAUACAUUUUAAAAAAUUAUUCCAUGUUUUUUUUUUUCAAAAUACAAAUUAAUGUCAUUUUGAAGAAUUUCGCUUUUUUAGUUCUGCACCAUUUUGAUACGAAUUAUUAAGAUUUUUUCACUAUGUAUCACUAGCGAGAUUUUUUGUUAACUUUAAAAGUAUUAAGUUUAAAAGUAAAGUAGUUUGUUACUUUAAAAAGUAUGAAUUCAAUCUGAAACUGUGAGAAAACAUCAGAUUUUCAAUUUUAACCUAAUACGUUCAAACCUUACUUCUCAGGCGGACUCUGAAAACAAAAUGAAAACUAAAAGCGAACCACAUUAUUGUCUAAACUUCUGCAUGUCCCUAAGCAUGUUCAGCAAUUACUCACAGGAAUAAUUUUAUUUUAUUUUACAAUGGUCAUCUCGUAUUUCAAUAAAUUAAUACUUAUAAUGAGCCGGAAACAAACCCUAAUUCUCUUCAUCCCUUAGUACUUAUCACUGUAACAUCAGCGUUUACAGCGUGCUUACGAUAGUGUAAAUUUAUCGCACGCGUAUUUAACUCGCUACCGGAUCGAGGAAGAACUCUUUAUGCGUAUUCGAAUGUUGCUAAGUUUAAACUGAGAAAAUACAUUCUUCUGAGGAAAAUUUUGGAUUUUUUCUCCAUAAAUUUUCAGAUGCACUUCGACGGUGAAACUACCAGCUAGACAACGCAUCUCGUUUGCGGGGGUUAAAAAUCUCCGUUCCCAUUUCAUUUUUUGGAAAAGAACAAAUCAGUAUUAUUUCUUGAAACACUUUUAGAGUAUUUAAUGCACACAGAGGAAAUAACACGGACGUUUUCAAGAAUUGACGUUCAGUCGUUUUUCAUUUAAAAAAUAAAGUAUGACAGGAGUCUACAACGUCGCAAACCGAGAUUGGUGGUCUGGUAUCUUCACCCCUGACUUGAAUCGAUUUCGAAUGAAAUUCAGAAGCAAAUUUUUCGAGUCUUUUAGAAAAUUUCUAUCUCACGAAAGGAAAACCUUGACAGUGAAUACGCAUUUGCUUUUUUUCCUUAGUAGGGAGUAUUAUCAUUUUCUCUUGUAUUAUUUCAAAGUAUACGAAAGGAGAAACCUGAUAUGGAGACGUUAAAAUGAACGAAAAACUCUUGAGCUUCAAUUAGGGCUGCCAUUAUUUGAACAAAAAUGCGAUAUCAAAUUACGUGAAAAUUUACCGCCAAGUUUGAGAAUUUUUCAAAAUUUUGAGAACCAAUACCAGUGUGCGCCUGGCAUACGUGAAUCUAGACACUUCGAACAGGGGGGAGCGUGAGGGGGGGCGCCCUUCAGAAAAUGUUCAACAUUUUAAGGCAUCUAAUAGGCAGUUUGAGUCAAUUUCGUCAUUAAUGAUUACCAGCUCUAGGCGUCCUUCCUUCCUCUUUCCUCCCUCCCUUCCUUCUUUCUUUUUCCAAUUUUCUUCCUCCUUUGUUUCGGGCGAACGAAGAGGGCAUGAACCCCCCCCCCCCCCCCCAGCCCGCUUAUAUUUCCCUGCAAAAGCAAGUUGAGCAAAGAGGAGUCAACUUUUUAAGUUCAUUGUGGAAAUCUCACCUCUGCAGUAGCUUCUCCCUU